UACGUAGGGUGCAAGCGUUAAUCGGAAUUACUGGGCGUAAAGCGUGCGCAGGCGGUUAUGCAAGACAGAUGUGAAAUCCCCGGGCUCAACCUGGGAACUGCAUUUGUGACUGCAUGGCUAGAGUACGGUAGAGGGGGAUGGAAUUCCGCGUGUAGCAGUGAAAUGCGUAGAUAUGCGGAGGAACACCGAUGGCGAAGGCAAUCCCCUGGACCUGUACUGACGCUCAUGCACGAAGGCGUGGGGAGCAAACAGG
rnacentral:rRNA from 1 species